UACGUAGGUGGCAAGCGUUGUCCGGAUUUAUUGGGCGUAAAGGGAGCGCAGGCGGUGACUUAAGUCUGAUGUGAAAGCCCACGGCUCAACCGUGGAAGGUCAUUGGAAACUGGGUCACUUGAAUAUAGAAGAGGAAAGUGGAAUUCCAUGUGUAGCGGUGAAAUGCGUAGAUAUAUGGAGGAACACCAGUGGCGAAGGCGACUCUCUGGUCUGCAACUGACGCUGAGGUGCGAAAGCGUGGGUAGCGAACAGGAUUAGA
rnacentral:rRNA from 1 species